CUUCAACUCGAUUAGCGUCGGUCCCACCACUGGGAUAGAAGCUGUUCUGUGCAGAGAAGCUUCUGUUCGCGAUUAACUCACCUAGCUCUGUGCCAUCAAGUGAAAUGUGUAAGCCGACAACGGCGUCGCUCCUUUGAUGCCUCUAAUGCCAGUGAAGACUCCCUUGGCUCUACCAUGACAU